GAACCACAGGGUCUGUCUGCGUCUAGCUGCUCCAUAGCCAGCCCCUGCUGUUCUUUACAACUGAGCCCUGUCGCUUCUGUGCUGGGAGAGGCCUUGCCAAGUCCAUCUCUCCAGCCCUUGGAUUUUUAAAUACGAAUCGCCUCCAUGUUAAAAUGGGAGCAGUCAGGGAGCUCAAGCCUCCGUUCGGGUUUUGUAAAUACAGAGUUACCAACCAGCAUCAGGCGAAACCCUUGUAUGUAUAUGGGGGGAAAAACCAGCCUUUGCAAGCCAAAGAUUGCCGCAGAGGGUUAGUGUCUGAAAACCAGAAAGGGAAACCGACCAGGGACACAGGCAAGGAAAGUCCUUGCUGGGGUUUGAACAGGAGACUUUGACCCGCGUCCCUUGACUUCCUGGGGCCCUAGCAGCCGUUCUGGGGCCCGGUUCCCCCGGGCGGCGGCUGGAUGGCUGGGAACCAGCAGAUGGAGCUCCGCGUGCAAGACACCUUCCCCGGCCCGCGCCUUUGUGCUCCCGGGCCCUGCGGGGUCCCCAGGCGCUGCUCCGCCAGUUCACUUCCUGCGGGGGCCGGGCUCCGGAUUUGAAAAUGCGGGAGUCGCGGCUGCUGCUGCACCUGGUGGUGCACGGCGCGGCCGGCCCCCCGCGGGAGAUGGCCGGCCGCGGGGACGAGCCGCAGAGGGCAGCCUGGCUUCGGCAGUACUACACGCAGAGGCAGAAGAGACUGAUGACGCUGCUGAUUGCCCGCCGGAGGAGAUCCAGCUGUUACUUCCACCCCCGCGCAUGGCCCAGCUUCCGGAAUGCUGACUGGUGGGAACGGGUGGUCCUGAAAGACUUCCAGCCACGGGAUUGGCUGGAGAAAUUCCGAAUGUCCAAGGAGACCUUCUUCUAUGUCUGCAACCAGCUGCGACCCAAGCUGUCCCACCCGAGUACCCUGCCUCUGGAGCAGCGGGUAGCUGUGGCCGUUUGGCACCUGGCCACCAACGUAGAGUACCAGAUAAUCAGCCCCCUCUUUGGGGUGGGUCCCUCCACAGUGCAGAACUGUGUCAAGGAGGUCAGCUAUGCCAUUGUGCUGCUGCUGAAGCCGCUCUACCUCCGGCUGCCCGGUGAGCAGGAGCUGGAGAACAUGGUGCGGAUCUUCAGUGCCCGCUGGGGAUUCCCACAUUGCAUCGGUGCCUUGGACAGCCUCCAUGUCCCCAUCCACGCCCCAGCACACCUCGGUGCCGACUACUGCAACAGCCAGGGCUGGCAUUCUGUCCUCACACAGGUGACGGUGGAUGGGCUGGGUCAGUUCUGGGACAUCUGUGCCGGCUUCCCUGGCAGCAUGGAGAACAACACAGUUCUGGAAAACUCCAGCUUGUGGGUGUUAGCCAGGGAGGGCCGCCUCUUCCCAACCCCCCCGAAACAUUUCAUGGGGAGGGCACAAAAAUACGUCCUGUUGGGAGACGCCUCUUACCCGCUGCGGGAUUGGAUCCUCAAGCCUUACCCAGAAGACGGCACCCUCACACCACAGCAGCUCCAGUUCAACUAUCGCCUGAAGCGAGCUCACAGCGUGAUCGAGAAUGCCUUCCUACGCCUCAAGGCCCGGUGGCAGUUCCUCCUAAAAUGCGACGACUGCAGCCUGGACCUACUGCCCACGGUCAUACUCGCCUGUUGCACCCUGCACAACGUGUGCGAGGCCCAUGACAGCCCCUUCAAUGAUGAAUGGCUGGAGGUGAUAGAACCCGCUGAGUUCUCAAAGCCCUGCCAGCCUGCGCCCAUGUCCAUGGACGACAGCAAUGCCGAGGAAGUGCGAGAGCUGAUGUGCAAAUACUUUGAAAGCUACGGAGAAGGCUGAUUGCUACAAAGCAAUGCUGCAUGCUUUCCAGCUCUCAAACUUUCAGUAACUCUAGUACACCUAACAUUGCCCCAGCAAUCAAAGGCCACUGAAUGGGUACUGUGCGCUGUCACAUACUGCAAAGCCUUUUCUGUGGAAUAAAGGCGGCUUGGGGGAUUGAUAAGGAGCCAGCCCUUCCCAGCUCAGCCACCAGUUCCAGUCCAGAGGAGGUCGGCCGUGUUGUGCGAAAGCAGUCUUUACCUUGGUGCUGUCGGGCAAUGGGAUGGAUUUCAUGCCUUUGUAAUCUGCCAGGGUUUAGAUGAUCUUGUGACAUGGUUUGUGAGAUGUAAAUAAAACAGGGGGUCUAGGUUUGGACAAAAAGUGGGGUGCAUAUUUUUUUACUUUCUUUAGGAAUAGAUCGGGCUCAGUAGCUCAGGGUGAUUGGAAAAGGGACACGAAGCCUGUCACGCCUUGGUCACUGGUAUGAAGCCAGUUUAGGCUGCAGGCUGGCAGUCAAUGACAGUUACCAGCUGAUGAGUUCUCAGUGGCCUGUGGGAAAAGAUGGGUGGAUCUCAGUUCAGGAGACAGGUGACCUUGGCACAGUGUCCCCUGCAUGGGCAGCCUCAGCAGCAAGCACCUAGAUGCUGUGGUCAUGGGUGCUCUAGAAACACAUCAGCAGAAAGGCCAAAGGAUGGAAUAGGUACUAUUGUCUGAAUCACAAUAGCAUCUGGAUGCCCCAGCUGAGGACAGGGCCCCAUUGUGCUGGGUCCUGACCCAGAGAUGCCAGUCCCUGCCCUGAUGAGCUCACUGUCUGAACAGGCAAGAUGCACCCAAGGUGGGAGGGGAAGUGAGUUGCCUGAGGCCAGCAGCAGAGCUAAGAUUAGAAUCCAGAAGUCAAGGAUUCCCAGGCUAGCACCCUACCCACUAGACGGCACUACCUCCACGUCCCUCAGGUGGCUGAAUUACCUUGCCAGCCUGAGGCUGAAGUUCCUGGCUAAUGCUGAGGAACGUCGGCGGAGCACGCGGUGUCUCAGUGCUCGGUGGGUCACCAGACUGGCCCCCUUCAGGAGCACAGAAGCUGAGACAGCGGCAGUUGAGAAAAGCCCUAGGGUCAUUUUAAGAAGUAUGUGGUUUUCCACAGAGGUAUCUGCCUGGCAUGGUGGAACCUCUUCAAAGAUGCUGCCUCCAGGUGAAAUCACGUGAUGAAGGAAAAAACAGCAAACUCAACAUCGUGGGCUAGAUUCAACUGGGGCUUCUGUGAGUGACUCCCAUUCGCAUCAGGGCUAAGUUUAGCCGCACACAUCUGCUUCUGCUGACACCCGUCUCCCGUUUUGCCAGUCACGCUGCCUAGCAUCAUCAUUCCUGGGGACACACUGAUAGAAUCAGUCAUUUCCGUACUCCCACGCUUCUGCCUGCUGUCCAGAACUCACUUGUCUUCUGGAAAUCUAGUGUUUUACUCCAACAAUCUGAAAACAAGAAUUUGGGACUUUAGCAAUAUCUGAGGCCUCUCCGUGUGUCUGAAGGGCUGUGGAUGUAGCAGGGGCAUUAACCUGAGUAUCCAGACAAAUUCCAAUAUAGGUAACUACAUUCUGCCUAUCUAUGGCCCUGAGCCUGCAAAGAGUUACACAUAUGCUUAACCCUACCUGCAUGGACAGACCCUCUGAGUCCAAGCCUUAAGCCUCUAGGAUUGGAGUCUUUGAUUUUUAAGACAUGGCUGGAUAUUUAUCUGCUCAUAGACUUUAAAGUCAGAAAGAACCAUCAUGAUCAUCUAGUCUGACUCCUGCACAUUGCAGGCCACAGAACCUCACCCACCCACUCCUGACAUAGACCCCUAACCUCUGGCAGAGUUACUGAAGUGCACGCUACUGGGGAUGUGGUUAGCAAAGUCUGGCCAUUGCAUUACGUAGGGUGGAAGAAUCCAGGAGUCUGACUGGUUCUUUAUGAACCACAUGGGUGGGAACUUACUGCCUUGGAGUCAAAGAAGCCUUGACUGGAUGCCUCUCUGAAAGAGAUGCUUUAGCUUAAUACACGUUAUUGGGUUCAGUGUAGGGGUAACGGAGAAUUCCAUGGCCUGUGACAUACAGGAGGUCAGAUGAGCUAAUGGUCCCUUUGGACCUUUAACUCUAUGAAUAUCUGGACUGUACAGUUCGGCGAAAACUCCAGCACUCCCUCCGCACUUUACUUCCUUCCCCAGACUCCUGGCUCUCGCACAGCAGCGAUGGUUCAGCAGCUUCCACCCCCCACCUAAACCUGCCAGCCCUGCGUCAGCAGGUGAGAGGACUUCUCUUGGAGCUGGGUGAAUGGCUCCCUAAAGUCUCCCCAAGGCCCUGCCUGUCCCAUGAGAGCUUUAGAUACACUGUGUGACAGGUUCCCCCCGGGGUGCCACCUGGAACUGGGGUACCGCUGAGCCCCCUGACCCACCAGCCUGGGCUCCCUCUCACCAGCCUGGGCUCCCUCUCAUUCUGCUGUGACAAGCUGCAAAGCCCUCCAGCCUGCACUUUCACCAGCAUUCACACAGGUAGGGACACACCCAGCUGCAGUUACAUGCAGGCUCUCUAACCACCAGCUUGGGACCCCAGAGCAGUACCAUCCUGCCCUGGUCAAAUCUGGCCAGUAUAUGGGUUUAAUACCCAGUCUGCCUAUCCCUCAAUGUGAAGAGAACAAUGCACACUUGUGGUAACCAACCAGAGAUUUUCCCCAAGCACUCCAGUCAAAGCUCAAAACAAAAACAAGUUUCACUACAAAAGAUAGAUUUUAAGUGAUUAUAGGGGAUAGCAAACAGAGCAAAGUAGAUUACCUAGCAGAUAAACAAAAAAUGCAAACUAAGCUUAAUAUAUUAGAUUGGACAUGAAUUAGUUAGUAGAUUCUCACACUAAGAGAUGAUACAAGCAGGUUGCUGAUUCUUAAGGGGCCAGCUGCACUUACUUUACAGCUUGGAAUCCCCAGGUGUUUCAUACACAAGCUAGAAAUCCCUUUAGCCUGAGUCUAGCACUUCCCCCAGAUCAGUCUUUGUUCAUCAGGUGUUUCCAGGAGUCUUCUUGUGUGGGGAGUGAAGAACCCCAGAUGAUGUCAGUCCCUGGCUUAUAUAGCUUUUGCAUAUGGCAGGAACCCUUUGUUCCAAAGCUUGGUUCCCAGACCGGUCUGUGGAAAAAUACUGACAUCCCGAGAUUGAGUCCAGCAUCAUGUGGCCUGGUCACAUGUCCUUGUAGAGUCAUAGCAGCCAUCACUCACAUUAUCAUUCUCAAAAAGACUCACCAGGUGGGAGAUAAGCUUGUGAAGGGUAACAAGAAGGGUUUCUACAGGUAUGUUAGCAACAAGAAGGUCAGGGAAUGUGUGGGACCCUUACUGAAUGGGGGAAGCAACCUAGUGAUAGAUGAUGUGGAAAAAGCUGAAGUACUCAAUGCUUUUUUUGCCUCAGUCUAAAGAGACAAGGUGUGACGAAGCGGGACUGUUCUUAAUGUUUCCUCUGAAUAGUGUGGGGGUGCCUCAGUUUCCUCUAGGCACUUCUUAAGUAUCUAAGUGAUGGGAUAAGGGUGUAUGAUCAUUGCAGAGCCCUAGAGGGCAGGUGUGUGCAGGGGUCUGGACACAGAGAAUGGCCGACACCCUCUUUCCUGGCAACUGAUGGCCUGGGCCCUUCCCCCCUGCAAGGCGAGAGCUAAACGGUUGGAGAACAAAGGAAUCAGGUGACCUCCUGGCCCAGGAAAGGGACAAAGCCCAGAGGAGGAGGGGCUGGAGAGAGUUUCAGUUUGGGGCUGGCUGGGGACAUGGAGUGAAGUGCAGACGUGGUUGUCUGGCUCACUGCCCUCCAAAAUGGACCCAGCUGAGGGGUCCUGUUCUCUGCACCUACAAACUCUGUGUUAGACCAUGUUCCUGUCGUCUAAUAAACCUUCUGUUUUACUGGCUGGCUGAGAGUCACGUCUGACUGCGAAGUUGGGGGGCAGGACCCUCUGGCUUCCCCAGGAGCCCACCUGGGCGGACUCGCUGUGGGAAGCGCACGGGGGGGCAGAGGAUGCUGAAUGCUCCGAGGUCAGACCCAGGAAGGUGGAAUUUGAGUGAGCUGUGUGUCUUGAAGACAGUCUGCUCACAGAAAGGAGACUUCCCCAGAGUCCUGACAGGCUUGGUAGGGAGCAGUUCCAGAGCAUCACCCGGGGACUCCGUGACACAAGGUCAGCUCCAAGACUGCUGCACUGGGCAACACAGUAUGGGGAGGAGGUGAGCAGCCCUUAGUGGUGAAAGAACAGGUCAAGGGCUAUUUAGAAAAGCUGGACAUGCAUAAGUCCAUGGGGCCAGAUGCAAUGCAUCCAGGGGUGCUCGGGGACUUGGCUGAUGUGAUUGCAGAGCCAUUGGCCAUUGUCUCUGAAAACUCGUGGCAAUCAGGGGAGAUCCUGGACGAUUGAAAAAAGGCAAAUAUAGCGCCCAUCUUUAAAAAAGGGAUCCAUUUUGAAGCACUUGGAGGAGGGGAAGGUGAUCAGGAACAGUCAACAUGGAUUCACCAAGGGCAAGUCAUGCCUGACCAACCUGAUUGCCUUCUAUGAUGAGAUAACUGGCUCUGUGGAUAUGGGGAAAGUGGUGGACGUGAUAUACCUUGACUUUAGCAAAGCUUUUGAUACGGUCUCCCACAGUAUUCUUGCCAGCAAGUUAAAGAAUUAGGCAUUGGGUGGACAGAAACCUGGCUAGAUCGUUGGGCUCAAUGGAUAGUGAUCAACGGCUCGAUGUCUAGUUGGCAGCUGGUAUCAAGCGGAGUGCCCCAAGGGUCAGUCCUGGGGCCAAUUUUGUUCAACAUCUUCAUUAAUGAUCUGGAUGAUGGGAUGGAUUGCACCAUCAGCAAGUCCGCGGAUGACACUAAACUGGGGGGAAAGGUAGAUAUGCUGGAGGGUAGGGAUAGAGUCCAGAGUGACCUAGACAAAUUGGAGGAUUGGGCCAAAAGAAAUCUGAUGAGGUUCAACAAGGACAAGUGCAGAGUCCUGCAUUUAGGCUGGAAGAAUCCCAUGCACCGCUACAAGCUGGGGACCGACUGGCUAAGAGGCAGUUCUGCAGAAAAGGACCUGGGGAUUACAGUGGACGAGAAGCUGGAUACGAGUCAGCAGUGUGCCCUUCUUGCCAAGAAGGCUAGUUGCAUAUUGGGCUACAUUAGUAGAAGCAUUGCCAGCAGAUUGAGGGAAGUGAUUAUUCCCCUUAUUAGGCACUGGUGAGGCCACAUCCUGAGUAUUGCGUCCAGUUUUGAUCCCCCACUACAGAAGGGAUGUGGACAAAUUGGAGAGAGUCCAGCGGAGGGCAACAGAAAUGAUUAGGGGGCUGGGGCACAUGACUUACGAGGAAAGGCUGUGGGAACUGGGCUUAUUUAGUCUGCAGAAGAGCAAGGGGGGAUUUGAUAGCUCAGUGGUUUGAGCAUUGGCCUGCUAAACCCAGGGUUGUAAGUUCAAUCCUUGGGGGGGCCAUUUAGGGAUCUGGGGCAAAAAUUGGGGAUUGGUCCUGCUUUGAGCAGGGGGUUGGACUAGAUGACCUCCUGAGGUCCCUUCCAACCCUGAUAUUCUAUGAUAGCAGCCUUCAACAACCGGAAGGGGGGUUCCAAAGAGGAUGGAGCUCGGUUGUUCUCAGUGGUGGCAGAUGACAGAACAAGGAGCAAUGGUCUCAAGUCACAGUGGGGGAGGUCUAGGUUGGAUGUUAGGAAACACUGUUUCACUAGGAGGGUGGUGAAGCACUGGAAUGGGUUACCUAUGGAGGUGGUGGAAUCUCCUUCCUUAGAGGUUUUUAAGGUCAGGCUUGGCAAAGCCCUGACUGGGAUGAUUUAGUUGGGGGUUGGUCCUGCUUUGAGCAGUGGGUUGGACUAGAUGACCUCCUGAGGUCUCUUCCAACCCUAAUCUUCUAUGACUCUCCUAAGGCCUAUUGUUUUCCCUAAUGGCUCAUUGCCCUGAAGAGGCCCUUCCCAACCAGCCAUUCUGACUGAAAGCGUCUUGUCUAGUGGGUGUUACCCAGGUGCGACUACAUUUGAAAUACAGAUACACAGUCAAUAUUCAUAACUUCAGAUACAAAAAUGAUCCAUGCACACAAAUAGGAUACUCAUAUUCAGCAAACCAUCACUUUUCCACUGACACCUCCCAUGACUUGUACAAAAUGCAUCAUCAUUAAAUGCAUCAUAAGAAUAUCACUGCGAAGAGCAUGGGGUGCAGGGUCCCACUGUGCAGCAGCAGUUGCAAGGAGCAACUUCUGGGGCGGCGGUGGGGGAAGGGUAGCAGCCCACCAGCGCACAACACAAUGGGUCUGCGGAGUGAGUUUAGCCAAGGACAUUAGACAAACCUGUUAAUUUUGCAAAUGGUGCCAGGAGAUCUCCAAUGUCCAAACAGAGCAGAGAGGACCUAAUUUUUUAAGGUUUCUGAAAGACACAGACACGUACAGUAAAUUGUGUAGAAAGAGAUGGGACUGCCUCGGGAGGGAUAAAAGGCUUAGUCAAAGCAGCGGGGAUUUGAAGCUAUGCUUGCAGGUAGGUUAGGUACUGUAUUUCCACCUUAAGGCUGAGACUAUCAAAGCAUGCCUUUUACAUAUCACACCCACAUCAGAGCAUGCCACAUGGAUUGCAAUACGUUUCUGUAGUACACAGAGCUGGAGUCUGAUCUCCGUUAUGCUGGUGGGAAUCAGGACUAAUUCCACUGAAGUCAACUGUAUCAAUGUAAAAUCAGGGUCACCAAGACCAGAAUCAGGGCCCUAAUGCCCAGUUGGAUUGUUUCCCCACAUUUUAAGCAGCUGAAGAAUUCAUCAUAUCAAUAGGCCUCUGGCCCUGAUCCAGCAAAUACGUACGCACACAUUUAAGUGGGUGAGUAGGUCAGUUGACUUCAAUGGAACAAUUUGUGCUUAAAGUUAAGUUUGUGCAUAACAAUUUGGGGUCUAGAGAGGCUCCUUUCUUCACUUCCCGUCUUAACCUGUUGUGUGGCGUUGCUGUACCAGGUGGGUGAAAUGCAGUGGCAGAUGAUGUAUGUAGCUUUGGGAUCCUCCAGGAGGAAAGGAGGAAACUCCACUCUGAAACCUUUAAUAAGAUUGUUAUUCUUUUGUUACCUUGCCUUUGUUUCACAAAUGCCAUUGAGUUAAACAUUAUAAUGAAAAUACAUGUCUUUUCCUGUAUUAAUAACAACAGCUCAGAGUAUUAAAUCUGAAAAUUAAACACUUUACUUUGCA